ensembl:lncRNA
AGCACAAGACAGCAAACACAACUGUAAUACAAUUAUAAGUUAUAAAAAAAAAACAAGAAUGAAUAAAAAAGAAAACAAAAGCUUGUAUUCCAAUUGCCCAUUGCAAAGAGUGAUGAAGACACGUACGUCCUCCUUGGUUGUUUUCAGACCGUGUUUGAAAAGGAUAACAUGCAAAAAGGCUAAAAUGCUGAAUGGCCAUUGACGAAGAUGAACUAAGAUUAGUUUUUGCAAUUGAAAGAAGUCUACGACAGUUGUUCUUACGACACUGUGCUAGUGUAAAUGUACUCACUCCCACACAGCACAGGUUCAAUCUUUUGUUAUCAGCACUGCUGUGCAAAUAUAUCCCGGAUCACAAUAUCAAAUGUACAUAGAAAGAUAUACGAUUAUUCACUCCCGAGACGCGCUAUUUUAAUGCACAUCGGUUUCCAGGCACCUAUUUAUGUAUUUAUUUAUUUAUGUAUUGAGCCAAGGACAUAAAGGACAUCACAUCAGCCUGUGUUAGAGCACGGGGUUGCUGGCUGGGACAGAUGCCCCACUUGUGAUGUCAAGUGCUCAGAGCAGGGGGUCAAUUGAUUCAUUAGUGAGCAGCUGUCUGGGGGUUAAGGGUUUCAUGGGGGCUGGAUGUCGGGCGGUCAGAUGACAUGUCGUAUGUAAGGUGUGGUUUGGUCCUUCAACCUAUAUUAAAUCACGUGUGCUCUCAGCGCUCCCACAUCCUUAAGAAGCGGAUCUCCUGAUUGCACGUGGAAGACACGUAUGCACUCACUAUAGACACAUGCACGCGCACAGACACACACACACACACACACAAAGACACACACACACACACACACACACACACACACACACACACACACACACACACACACACACACACACACACACACACACACACACACACACAGAAACAACCACACACCCAGACACAAAUCACAGACACACACACACAGAUAUCCUCUACACAAACACACACCAUCCCGUCAGCCUCUUCUUACACACACACACACACACACACACACACACACACACACACACACACACACACACACACACACACACACACACACACACAUAAACACCCAGACGCACAAAUAAAACAAACGUGCAUGCGUCCAAUGAGAGACACUCUAAACAGGCAGAGAGGGAAAUUGAAUUGUGCAUGUUUUAUUAUUUGAGCGGUGGACUGCAGCCUGGCUCGCUCCUUUGUAAUGGUGUAAUGUAUAUUUCAUUACCGACUAAUGGGCUCCAUUAGCAGUGGCUCCACCCAGACAUUCAACACUUAUUGUUUCAUGGCCCAGAAGGAAGAAAGAACCGAGGAGGAGGGAAGACUGACGACGAAGAGGAAGGGGAGGAG